rnacentral:rRNA from 1 species
CCUACGGGAGGCAGCAGUAGGGAAUCUUCCGCAAUGGACGAAAGUCUGACGGAGCAACGCCGCGUGGGCGAUGAAGGCCUUCGGGUCGUAAAGCUCUGUUGUUAGGGAAGAACAAGUAUCGGAGUAACUGCCGGUACCUUGACGGUACCUAACCAGAAAGCCACGGCUAACUACGUGCCAGCAGCCGCGGUAAUACGUAGGUGGCAAGCGUUGUCCGGAAUUAUUGGGCGUAAAGCGCGCGCAGGCGGUCCUUUAAGUCUGAUGUGAAAGCCCACGGCUCAACCGUGGAGGGUCAUUGGAAACUGGGGGACUUGAGUACAGAAGAGGAAAGCGGAAUUCCACGUGUAGCGGUGAAAUGCGUAGAGAUGUGGAGGAACACCAGUGGCGAAGGCGGCUUUCUGGUCUGUAACUGACGCUGAGGCGCGAAAGCGUGGGGAGCAAACAGGAUUAGAUACCCUGGUAGUCCACGCCGUAAACGAUGAGUGCUAAGUGUUGGAGGGUUUCCGCCCCUUUAGUGCUGCAGCUAACGCAUUAAGCACUCCGCCUGGGGAGUACGGGCCGCAAGGCUAAAACUCAAAGGGAAUUGACGG